ACUCGCGAGAGCUAGCAAUCCCAUAAACCGUGGCUCAGUUCAGAUCGUAGGCUGCAACUCGCCUACGUGAAGGAGGAAUCGCUAGUAAUCGCAGGUCAGCAUACUGCGGUGAAUACGUUCCCGGGCCUUGUACACACCGCCCGUCACACCAUGGAAGUUGGCCGCGCCCGAAGCCGUUACUCCAACCCUUGUGGAGGAGGACGUCGAAGGUGGGGCUGAUGACUGGGGUGAAGUCGUAACAAGGUAGCCGUACCGGAAGGUGCGGCUGGAUCACCUCCUAACA
rnacentral:rRNA from 1 species